rnacentral:lncRNA from 1 species
AUGUUGAAGGGGCAGGUUCUGGUGAUCGAUGGCCUAGGCCUCUCCUGAGUUGCCUGGUGGUCAUAAUGGCCAAGCAAGUACUGCUGGGCAGGAAGCUGGAGGUCCUGCACUGCAAGGACAUCAGCAUUUUUGUCAACUUCUACAGGAACAAGUUUCAGUAUCUAACCUUCCACAAGACCAGGAGCACCAACUCUGUCUUUAGACCCUACCACUUCUGGGUCUCUUCUACUUUCGGGCACCUAACUGCAUCUUUUGGCUGAACCAUGAGUGGUAUAUUGCCCCAUAAAACCAAGUGAGGCCUGGCCACCUGGACCACCUCAAGGUAUUUGAUGGGAUCCACACCCCCUGUGCCCUGCCCUUUGCAAAAGUGGAUGGUGAUUUCUACUCUACUCAAGGUUGUGCACCUGAAGCCCACACUGAAGUUUGCCUACCUGGGGCACCUGGUUCAUAAAUUUGCCUGGAAGUACCAACCAGUGACAGCCAUUCUGGAGGAGAAGAGGAAGGAGAAGGUCAAGAUCCAUUAGGAGAAAGAAUGGGGAGGGGCAAAGGGAGAAGGAGCAGUUUAUGAGGCUGCAGAAACAGGCUGAGAAGAAUCUGAAGAAUAUCGACAAAUACACAGAGAUACUCAAGACCCAAGGACUCCUAGUC